CCUGGGCCUCAAAUGGAUAACUUCUUUAGCUGCCCAACCAGCAGCCACAAAAGUGCAAUAAAAAUGAACACAUCAUGCUUUUAAGUUUAAAAAAAAAAAAAAGGCUGAAGAAUCCCUUUGAAGCUUGAGGGCACAAAGGAGAUAACCGAAGCAGAAAUGCUGCCAUUUGGGCAACAAGAAAAACUUCAAGGCUGAGACCCAUCUUUUACAACUGUAGUGACCUCGAUGUGAGAUAAGGAAAAGAUGGAUGCGGAGCAGCUGCUAGAAACAAAACUAAGCAUGGAAAAACCCCAAGAAGUAAAACAGAGACUGAAAAUCAUAUAUAAGGAGAACACAAACAAUGCCACGUUGGGUGAGAAAUCUUCUGUCUUCCUUCCAGAGCACAGGCGCGCCUGCUUCUCACCUCAUUCCAGCUCACCACCAUCAUCAGCUACAACAUCUCAGCUACUCAGUGAACAUGGGGUUGGCCACCCCGUGUUAACAUUGAGCAACUAUUGCUGAAGUGACCACUUGACCUGCCAAAAAGUAUCUUGGUGCUAUGACAGACCACCUGGAAUGUCAGGGGUAUCCUGAGGAUCUUUUUGAGGAAGGAUGGUCAUUCAGCUCCAUGCCUAACUGAUCGUUUGUGAUUCUCCCUGCAAUCUCCUGCUUUCAGAUGCAAGGCUGCUGAAAUGCAACCUCAGUAAAGUCCCAGCAAUCUGCAGGGAUUCCCUGCCCACACUAAGCCUCCUGAUCCACCUCCCAAGAGUGGGAUGUGGCUCUCAGGAAUCUUACAUCUGAUUCCUGCAGCCUCUGUGCUGCUCUCUGAGGGAACUGCAUUUCUCAAGCCAGUAGCAUGAUGAAGAAGUGACUGGGGCUCCAGCCUCAAGCACCAACCUUUGGGAGGAUGCGUGCAAAAAUAGCAGCAGCCAACCCAAACACCACUAAGUUGCCAGCAGCACAGCCACUGACACUGCCUUCAAGCACCCAGUUGCACUUCUCUGUCAUUCCCCUGAAAAUGCAUGGGAGCUUCAUAAGGGCUCAGUCUGUUAUAACUGAAUGGCUUGAUGUUUGUAUAAUUUAGGUCUCAUCCUUAGCACUGCAUUCACUAUAUAUGUACACAGUUAUACAAUAUGCAUACAUGUGUAUAUAAUUUUUUGGUUGUUCUGUAAUGGGAGCCCAAUAAGGUCCAAUAUAAGCUGUUUGUAUUGCUUCAUGAAUAUAAUUUUAUUACUGGCCAGUAGGCCUGUAAGAAGCAGCUAGUAUUUGCUUCGGAUUCUGAUUCUGAUUUGGCUGA